rnacentral:rRNA from 1 species
UACGUAGGUGGCAAGCGUUGUCCGGAAUUACUGGGUGUAAAGGGAGCGUAGGCGGGAAAGCAAGUUGAAUGUUUAAACUAUCGGCUCAACCGAUAAUCGCGUUCAAAACUGUUUUUCUUGAGUGAAGUAGAGGUAGGCGGAAUUCCUAGUGUAGCGGUGAAAUGCGUAGAUAUUAGGAGGAACACCAGUGGCGAAGGCGGCCUACUGGGCUUUAACUGACGCUGAGGCUCGAAAGCGUGGGUAGCAAACAGG